UGAAUACGAGAUGCUACGGCGUCGAAGCAGUCUAUGUCAUACUUCCAAGAAAAGCUUGCACUGUCAUAAACAAAUAAUGCCUGUACCAUAACCGACAUAGGUGGGUAGGUAGAGUAUACUAAGGGGCGCGAGAUAACUCUCUCUAAGGAACUCGGCAAAAUGACUCCGUAACUUCGGGAGAAGGAGUGCCUUAUUUUAUAAGGUUGCAAUAACAAGAUCCAAGCAACUGUUUACCAAAAACACAGGUCUCCGCUAAGUCGUAAGACGAUGUAUGGGGGCUGACGCCUGCCCAGUGCCAGAAGGUUAAAGAAGUUGGUUAGCAUCCGCGAAGCUGAUAACUGAAGCCCUGGUGAACGGCGGCCGUAACGAUAACGGUCCUAAGGUAGCGAAAUUCCUUGUCGGGUAAGUUCCGACCCGCACGAAAGGCGUAAUGAUUUGGAUACUGUCUCAGAGAGGGGCUCGGUGAAAUAGACUUGUCUGUGAAGAUGCGGACUACCUGCACCAGGACAGAAAGACCCUAUGAAGCUUUACUGUAACUUGAAAUUGAAAUUGGACUUUACUUGCGCAGUAUAGGUGGGAGGCGUUGAGAAUAUUCUUGCGGGAAUGUUGGAGCCAUCAGUGAGAUACCACUCUUGUAAUGUUAGAUUUCUAACUUUGUAUCAUUAUCUGGUCAAAGGACAGUCUCAGGCGGGCAGUUUGACUGGGGCGGUCGCCUCCCAAACGGUAACGGAGGCGCACAAAGGUUUCCUCUGAACGGGUAGAAAUCGUAUCUAGAGUGUAAAGGCAUAAGGAAGCUUGACUGUGAGACCUACAAGUCGAGCAGGGACGAAAGUCGGUCUUAGUGAUCUGACGGUGCUGAGUGGAAAGGCCGUCACUCAACGGAUAAAAGUUACUCUAGGAUAACAGGCUGAUCUCCCCCAAGAGUUCACAUCGACGGGGAGGUUUGGCACCUCGAUGUCGGCUCAUCGCAUCCUGGGGCGGUAGUACGUCCCAAGGGUUGGGCUUUCGCCCAUGAAAGCGGUACGCGAGCUGGGUUCAGAACGUCGUGAGACAGUUCGGUCCAUAUCCGGUGUAGGCGUUAGAAUAUUGAGAGGAGCCUUCUUUAGUACGAGAGGACCGAGAAGGACAUACCUCUGGUGUACCAGUUAUCGUGCCAACGGUAAACGCUGGGUAGCUAUGUAUGGAGUGGAUAACCGCUGAAAGCAUCUAAGUGGGAAGCCCACCUCAAGAUAAG
rnacentral:rRNA from 1 species